rnacentral:tRNA from 1 species
GUGGGUAUAGUUCAGUUGGUUAGAGCGUCAGAUUGUGGUUCUGAAUGUCGUGGGUUCGAGUCCCACUACCCACCCCA